ensembl:lncRNA
UUUUGCCAGAGGCAUGAACGGGAGAUGACUCAGGCCUGACUGGUCUUACAAAGUGGGCUGAAUUGAGCUUCGUUUGUAUGACUGGACUGAUUUUGUCUCCUCGGCGUGUUUUCAAGCUUCCAUUAACGGUCAAGUUUCAAGUUCCGCAUGUGAGAACUUUGCUAGGUCUAACAGGCGUUUAACAGCCCCAUCUUAAGAGGACACCGUGAUCAACUUUUACGCGCAGAGAUAUGAAGGCGCGCCUCCCAGUCGGUAUUGCACCUGAGACGAACCCCAUUUGGGAAGAGGAAAUGUCUUCCUCCCCUACAGUUUUGGCGUAGUCGGCAGGAUGAAAUUUCACUGGCUGGACACUGCUUGCUCCUGGACUGCUGCGGCCUAGAGAUCCUGGACCCCUGACAAGAGCCGGCAAGAGGGCUGAUUGACAUGGCUUGCAUUGCAUAGUAAAAUGUCACUUACUCAUAGCAAAACUACUCAACAGAGAUGGGCCUGCCCUAGCAAGAAGAGAGGGGUGUUUCCAGAAGAUAUUCACAUUUGAAUCAGCAGACUGAGUAAAGAAGAUUGCCCUCACCAAUGCAGGUGGGCAUCAACCCAUCCACUGAGGGACUGAAUAGAACAAAGACAUGGAGGAAGGACAAAUUUACCAUCUGCGUGAGCUGAGACAUCCAUCCUCUCUUGCCCAUAGAUGUCGGCGCUUCUGGUUCUUGGGCCUUUGGGUUUGGAUUGGAACUACAUCACCAGCUUUCUUGGGUCUCCAGCUUGCUGACAGCAGAUGGUGGGAUUCCUCAGUCUCCAUAAUUACGUGAGCCAAUCGCUCAUAAUAAAUCUCUUUCUAUAUAUCUCCCCUCAUAUCUUAUUGGUUCUGUUUCUCUGGAGGACUCUGACUACUACCAUAGGCAAGUGGAUAUUCAAGUCUAGAACUGAAAGACCAUGCCUAAGUGGAUAAAAACUUGGAAAUCAUCAGCAUAUAAAUGAUACUUGAAACGACAGACUGGAUGAGAUCACCUCAGAGUCAAGUCUAGAGAAGAGAAAGAGACCCAGGAUGAGACCUGAUGAUAUUAUUCAAAUCUGUAUCUUAGCUUUCUUUUCAGUUUCAUUGAUCUUAUUAUUAUGAUAGUAAGAUAGUAUUUUAAUUAUAAUAGCUCUAUAGCAAGGCUUUAUACCUAUGAAAACAAAUCAUUACCUAUUACUUUUCUUUUUAAAGUAUUUUUGCAUUUCUUCCCAUCUAUACUUUCUAACAUAUAAACUUUUGUAUCACUUUACAAAAUCAAAAACUUCCUUUUUCUAUAUGAUACUAGUUAUGAUUGUGAAAGUUGGGUAUAAAAUGCAAUAACGUUGACAUUUAUUUGAUAUCACUGACAAACAAUUUUUGAGCUAGGCAAGUUAUUAGAGCUUCUCCAGCCUAUCAAGAUGAGGAUACUUAUGGGGACUAGGACUGGGUGAGUGGUCAAGAGAUAGCCUGGAGGGACAGAUUUCAUUCUGGGGUUGGCGAAGGGGAGGAGGCACACAAAUUGGGAGCCAUUGGAUAGACAUUCUGGCAAAUCUUUGGCAGUUAACACUGCCCUACUCCAGAUAGUGCCAAAGCAAAUGGAAUAUUUGGAACCAUUAAAGGAAAAUUCCAUCAUUUACAUUCAAAUUACAAGGAACUUGGUUAAAUUUGUGCACUAUGACUAUUUCUGAUAAUAGGUUUCAAUUUUUACUUUUACUUUUUAAAAGCCCCAAAUGUCAUCCAAACUCAGUGGAUUAGAAAAUAUUCAAGCUUUAGAAAAGUGAUACAGUCAAUUUUUAACUCAUUUUAAUAUGUAGUAUUGUGUUUAGGUGACGUUUUCUCUGUUCUCAUGAGGGGACUCUCCUUUUCCAGCCUCAUUUCUCCCAACUUGAAAUUUGGAGCGUAAUUUUCAAAGGAGCUAUUUGUGAUUUUGCAAGUUCUUCUCACUCUCCCUUUCGGUGCCUUUGUGCCUGUAGCUUUCUCCUUGCCUUGCUCCUUUCCCCUCUUCUUUUGUCUGGCUAACACCUACUCAUCUCUCAAAACCCAACUCAGAGAUCACAUUCUUUAUGAAGCUUCUAUGCCUUUUUCUGUUCUAGUGCCUUUUUUGUGUGCUUCCCAACUGUCCUGUAUUAUCUCUGUCACAGCAUUUAUGACAAUGUAUUGGAAUGUCUAUGUACUAACCUUGGACCUUCACUAGAAUGUGACCUCUUAGAAACUCCAGGAGGGUCUCUUUGAUCUCUGCAUCCCCAGCACCUAGCACAAGACCCAAGAGAGAUCGGACACUCACUAAAUAUUUGUUGAAUCAAUACACAGCCAAUCUGUCUUCUUAAGAAGAAUUCCACUUACGAGAAGAAAGAAGCUUUCUUCAAAUUUCACACUUUAAUAGGACACAUAACUCUGAAAUAUGAAAAAGAGAUUUAUGAAUGUACGGGUUGAAUGCAUUAGCUUGAAAUUCAUUUUCUCCUGUCAUCAACAUGGAACCAUUUCGAAGAGAAGUAGAUGUCAGAAGCUUAUGGAAUGUGAAUAGGAUAGCCAUAUAAAACCUUAUUUUUUCCAGGUUCUAAAGCUGCUGAUAGAUUUUAGAACUGAGAGGCUUGGAGCAGUGGAGAGAGUGUCACGCUCUUCAGGUAGACGUAGCUCGAAAAUGUGGUCCCCAGGACACACUCCUCGCAAAAAAGACAUCUUUUUCACAAUCUGGAAAAGACGUUUUAAAUUAUCUGAGGCCAAAGGUGUGAAAAAGAGCCUCCAAGCAGAGAGAAAAUAAAUGAUCUGCUUCACUGUUGAAUCUAGUGUUCUCAGGAAAUUGAAACUUGAAUUUCGUCUAAAUAUAAAGCAAUGGCAGAGCAGACCUUCUUGCUUUUCAUUCUCUGGCUUUUUGUCAGGUUGUGUUGGAAGAGAGAAUCUCUCAUUAUGUAACAGAAUUUCCCCUAAUGGAGCCUGCGGCAAACUUGAAACCAUACUUUGGUAUAUUGGAGAAAAAUAGGAACAGUAUUUUUUUUUUUAACUCAGAAAAAGUAGUACAUUGUCCCAAUUAAGUUCAUAGAGUAAUAGAGUAGCAAGGCUAGCAGGAAAUUUCAGUAUCUUUUAAUUCAACUUAUUGAUUUCACAAAUGAGGAAACAUUAAUAGAGUGAAGUAACUUGAUCUCAGAACCUUGAUAUUCUGAGGGCAUAGAUAGGUAAACAAAUAAUACAAAGCAUGGUAAAAAUACUUGAUAGAAUUGAUUGAAAAUAAGUCAAUGUUAGUUACUAGCACUGUACUUUUAUUUUGUGUGGGAAAUAUCUCCUUAUCUGUGAUGGCAAUCAUCAAAAUGUCCCUCCUUGUUAAUGAUAAAUGCUAUUUUGGCACAUGUAUACAUGGAAAGCAGGGUUCUGUUGAAUUGAAUGUCCAGUCUCUUGAAAAAUCGAUAAAGGCAGUGAGUUAGAAAAUGGAGAAAAUAUACAGAUGACCCAGUUGUAAGUUCCGAGGAGCACUGAGACCUCGUCAUAUAACCCCUACCUUUG